CAGAGCCAAACAGAAAGCAAAGUCAGGCAUAAGCAGGUGGACAUCGUGUAGCAAUUAGCAGCUAAAGAGCUAGAUGUGGCCUUCUUGAGUUGAUAGAGACCCAAACAGAGCUAAAAAGAGAGAAUAUGGGACUUAUAUUGAUCCGGUGACAACCGUUCACUGCACUCCAAGUGGCCAAGUGAAAGGCCCAGAGUUACACUUUUAUUGACCAUUCCUUUGUAAGAAUCUGUUCACAGGGCCAUGUCUUCCUUUUCCAGUUAUCAAAAAUUAAGGCUAUUGCUUUUAGCUCUGAUGCUCAAGAAGAAAGGCAAGCCCUAAGGGACAAUUUGAUGCCAAGGCCAGAACAGUUAUUUGCAAGUAAGGAAUAGAGUGACCGUAACGCCAGAUGACGCUAUCAGUCUGUCCUCAGAGGAGUGUCAGUGGUCACAAUGAUCACCUUCUUCUAGAACGGCUUUGGAUGUCUGAUGUUCGUCAUCCCCAGACUACAAUAAAGCUCCGUUUGUCUGAUGACCACAACUGACAAAAAUAAGGAGCAUUUCAGGCAAAAGGAUCAUAGAAACGAAGUGGGCUGUGAAGUGAACUAAUGAAAAUAAAGUCCUCAUUUGUG